rnacentral:lncRNA from 1 species
ACAGCUCCCUCAAGUUCAUUGGGAAAACAACACUUGGAUCAGCACUGAAGAUCAAAUGAGCUACGGCUUCAUUAGUUUUUUCUGCAUUGUGUCUGCCAUCAAAGAACAUGUAUCCUCUCUGGUAUGAACAUAAAUUGGAGUGCACAUUUUUAAAUCCACACCCAAAUGCAUCAUGUGAUCCUGUUCCACAGCAUGCCAGAUUGGUUGUAAAGUACCCUGCACCAAAACCAUCCAAACUCAUAUCAUAUAUACAUAUAUGUACACUUUCUUCACAUAUAUAAUUUCCCCAUGAUGGGUAUUAUUAAUUACUCACUGUAAUUAUUGGGUCGGGCCAUUCUUCGGAGGCUUGAAUUGAAGUAAUCAUAAAUGAUGUAGUUGAAACCAUCUAAUGUUUCUGAUAAGUUCUCCAAUGUCUCCGACAGAAGCUGGUUGUGCUGAGCAGCAAGAUUUGAUGCCAAUGGAAGACAAAAGUUUCCCGUUUUGAAGUCUUGUUUCACAAUUGGCAGACACCCAAGCGGUGCCAAGUUCUGGAAUGCAAAUUUCCUUCCUCCCAAU